rnacentral:rRNA from 1 species
UAGGGAAUAUUAGAAAUGGACGAAAGUCUGAUCUAGCAACACCGCGUGUGCGAAGAAGGCCUUUGGGUCGUAAAGCACUUUUUGGAAGGAAUAGGAAGGAAUGUACUUCCAGAAUAAGUCUCGGCUAACUACGUGCCAGCAGCCGCGGUAACACGCAGGAGGCAAGCGUUAUCCGGAUUUACUGGGCGUAAAGCGCGUGUAGGUGGUACUGUAAGUAGGGCGUGAAAGCUCCUGGCUCAACUGGGAGAGGCCGUUCUAAACUACAGAACUAGAGGAUGGUAGAGGGAGGUGGAAUUCCAGGUGUAGCGGUGGAAUGCGCAGAUAUCUGGAGGAACACCGGUGGCGAAGGCGGCCUCCUGGACCAUUCCUGACACUCAGACGCGAAAGCUAGGGUAGCAAACGG